rnacentral:lncRNA from 1 species
AGCAUCUUCUGGAAAUGAGAAACUGGCUCAGUUUGUAUAAACCAGUGGUUUCUAAGCUUUCUGUACUGGGCCUUAAUCCAGAUUAUAUCCCAGAAUCCCUGCAUGAGGAUGGCAGGUUCCUAUUCCAGGAUGUAAUCCAGAUUAAGGUCCAGCGCAGAAAGGGACUAAGAGAACUGUUGUGUUAUCUGAGGGACAAUGGUAUUAUUAUUUAAAUCUAUUUUGAAGCCUCACAGUAAUUUAUAAAAAUAUGAUAUAUAGUUGGGCAUAGGAAGCCGUUAAACGUUAGGAUUUACCACUGCAUCAGUUACUUUCCUGUCUGUGACUGACUUGUAUUACCCUUUCAGGUACAGUUACGGGAUUUUGGGCUUCUGGUUUUUUUGGUCCAUUGUUAUCCUGGCUAUAGCUUCAUGUAUGUUCUCCUAUUUCUUGUUCUUACUGAUCCUAGCAGUAUGCCUGAUGUCAGAGAGGCAACAGUUGAAUUUGCAUUGGUGUCACAAGAUUGGAACUCUGCUUCUUCUGCUUUUCUCUUUCCUUGGCAUCAUCUUCAUAAAUCUUCUGUGGUCAGAUCAGUGGGCAACCUUUUAUCUCUCAUUCCAGGUAAGAAGGCCCAGCGAUAGCAGGAUGCAGAGCACUGAAAAUAUUAUAAGGCUCCCCCGCCUUUUAAAGAAAUUUUGUUUCUUUCAAAAACAAAAGAAAUGAAAUUUUGCUAGGGGUAGGAUGAAGGAGUGGUAAAGCAGACAUACCACUUGCAACAGAA